rnacentral:rRNA from 1 species
UGCCAGCAGCCGCGGUAAUACGAACCGUCCAAACGUUAUUCGGAAUCAUUGGGCUUAAAGGGUGCGUAGGCGGUGUGGUCAGUUGGGUGUGAAAUCCCUCGGCUCAACCGAGGAACUGCGCCCAAUACUGCCACACUCGAGGGAGACAGAGGUAAGCGGAACUGAUGGUGGAGCGGUGAAAUGCGUUGAUAUCAUCAGGAACACCAGUGGCGAAGGCGGCUUACUGGGUCUCUUCUGACGCUGAGGCACGAAAGCUAGGGGAGCGAACGGGAUUAGAUA